rnacentral:rRNA from 1 species
CACCAGACUCCUACGGGAGGCAGCAGUGGGGAAUAUUGCACAAUGGGGGAAACCCUGAUGCAGCGACGCCGCGUGAGCGAUGAAGUAUUUCGGUAUGUAAAGCUCUAUCAGCAGGGAAGAAGAUGACGGUACCUGACUAAGAAGCCCCGGCUAACUACGUGCCAGCAGCCGCGGUAAUACGUAGGGGGCAAGCGUUAUCCGGAUUUACUGGGUGUAAAGGGAGCGUAGACGGCGAUGCAAGCCAGAUGUGAAAGCCCGGGGCUCAACCCCGGGACUGCAUUUGGAACUGUGUGGCUGGAGUGUCGGAGAGGCAGGCGGAAUUCCUAGUGUAGCGGUGAAAUGCGUAGAUAUUAGGAGGAACACCAGUGGCGAAGGCGGCCUGCUGGACGAUGACUGACGUUGAGGCUCGAAAGCGUGGGGAGCAAACAGGAUUAGAUACCCGCGUAA